GGAACACGCUUCAGUCCUUAGGCAGGAAGCUUCCGGAACUCUGUAUGGAGCGCAGGAGAGAAAGCCAGUGCCAGGCUUGUCUUCCAUCACUGCAACCCUGUAUUACCAAGACCUCUACAGGCCGAGUCCACUUCCUGAGCCUCCCAGGACACCAUCUGAGACCCAGGUCUCACCUGUCCAACUGACAUUCCACACCACACCCUGGCAACUGAAUCCAGGGCACCUCUCCCCAGGACCACUCUUCCUCCCCAGGCUAGCUCUCCAUCUGGUGACAGUGGCAGCUAGAACACUUUUGGAUCAGAGCCAUGUUUUAAGAGUUACACAAGGGAUUUGGCUGCUGGAGUACACCUCUGAAGGACUUCCAUGACCACAUUAUUCACUAGAGAAAGAGGGGUCAGCAAGAAGAACAUUUCCCUUUCAUUCUUCCAGCUGUAAAUGUCAUUGCUCACACAUAGCAAAGGAAUGGUUCCCCCAUGCCAGAGCUGUUUCACAAACAGGUUUGACGCCAGCCUACUGGCUUCGAGGAUGAAUGGACAGUCAACAGACAGAAGCCAAGACAUGGCUUCCCAGGGACAGAAUUAAAAC
rnacentral:lncRNA from 1 species